CUUUGCUCAUUCGGGUGUGACCUCCGCAGCUCAGUGAAGGGAAUGGCUGGCGCGUGUCCAAGUUGAGACUUGUGUGGGCUCGUGUGUGUGAGUCUGUGUAUGCGCAUGUAGUCGUGUGUGUGUGUGUGUGACCUGCAGGAAGAAAAGUCGUUGCGUGGCCUCUUGGAUCAGUUCCUCAGCUACGUCUUCAGGGUAGAACUUGGCCCGGAACUUUAUCAACAGUGGGUUCUCCCUGCGUACGUCCUGAGCUGUCACCUGGGAACAUUACAGCAUUGCAACAACAUGAGAUCAUCCAAUCGCAAGAGGUCGUAGGGGACUACAAUCAAAACAUGAAGCCCACAAGGUAU